rnacentral:rRNA from 1 species
GUCGAACGGUAACAGGAAGAAGCUUGCUCUUGCUGACGAGUGGCGACGGGUGAGUAAUGUCUGGGAAACUGCCUGAUGAGGGGAUAACUACUGGAAACGGUAGCUAAUACCGCAUAACGUCGCAAGACCAAAGAGGGGGACCUUCGGGCCUCUUGCCAUCGGAUGUGCCCAGAUGGGAUUAGCUAGUAGGUGGGGUAACGGCUCACCUAGGCGACGAUCCCUAGCUGGUCUGAGAGGAUGACCAGCCACACUGGAACUGAGACACGGUCCAGACUCCUACGGGAGGCAGCAGUGGGGAAUAUUGCACGAAUGGGCGCAAGCCUGAUGCAGCCAUGACCCGCGUGUAUGAAGAAGGCCUUCGGGUUGUAAAGUACUUUCAGCGGGGAGGAGGGGAGUAAAGUUAAUACCUUUGCUCAUUGACGUUACCCGCAGAAGAAGCACCGGCUAACUCCGUGCCAGCCGCGGC